AGAGUAUAUCAGAAAGCCAGCUGAACCCUAAUUUCCAGAAGCAAUUGGAGAACUUUUGUUCUUAUAUCUUCAGUCAUGCAACUGGCAAGAGACUCGGAGAGGGGAUCCUGGUCACUGGGAGUCGUGAGUCACUUUUGCAAAGCUUAUGUCUUUUCUGGGUCAGUACAGGGUGAAGUCUGGAUUCUUGGCUAGAAUUGUCAGUAGUUUUAUUUGCCAUACUGGAAUGUGGGAAUGCAGAAGUCUGUGUCAUACAUGGAAAUGCACAUUUAUUUAUUAACCCCUGUUUUCAGUUGAUUUACGUGAGUGAGAAAGGAAACAGCAGGCCUUGCAUGCACAGUUAGUAAAUGAGUAAAAAACAAAUUUGAACUUAAUCUUCCAUACAGAAAAGACUUUGCGGACCUGGGAACUCUACAGUAGUCCAGACAAAGAUAGGUCCAUGCUGUACUAAUAUGUCUUGCUUCCUUGAAACUCUUGAUCUUCUUAGAAAAAGGCUCUACAUUUUUAUUUGGAAAUGAACUCAGAGAUUAAAAACUUUAUUCUACAUAA
rnacentral:lncRNA from 1 species